rnacentral:tRNA from 1 species
GGGAGUGUAGCUCAGUGGUAGAGCAUUUUCCUAUCAUGUUUGAAGCUCUGGGUUCAAUCUCCAGCACUACAA